rnacentral:lncRNA from 13 species
GAAUGCAUUUUCCUUUUGGACCAGUGCUGAGGAGGGACUACAAUCGAAAUGAAAUAUGAGAGUGCCACGUGGGUGGACGCCAGAUUGGGGAGGCCUUGAGCACCAGACUACAGAAAGAAAGACCUUGAAAGGGAGAAAAGAGAAGGGGUGGAAUGAAAGCAGGGACCAGCUCAUGUCCUAACGCUUCCUUGUCUGCACCUCUGCUCGCCCUGCCCCUUCCACGUGCUCCUACAGAUCUAUCUUUAGCAUAAAUAUGUCCCAAAUACUGCAUGGAACAUAUUUGGCUAAAAAAUUAAUCUGUUGUUGAUCUGAAGUUUACAGUUAACUAGGCAUUCUGUAUUUUUAUUUGCUGUAUCUGGCAACCCUAAAAGAGAGAAGGUACGUUCUGCUUCCUGUUCCUGACAACUUCACCCCAGACUCACUUCACUCAAGCAGCCACAGUCUAUUCUAGGAGCAGCAUCUGUGUCCAGUGUGCAGUGCGUGCAAUGCCUGCAGACUCAGCCUCAGCCUCAUUUCACACUCUCAGCAAUGCCAGCACCGGCUACCUAGUGCCCCCUCCACAGAAGUCUGGGUCCCAGCAUCGAGGAUCCUCCUCCAGGUUCAGACAUUGGCCCCAGCCAAUCACUGGUCCCUUCACAGAAGUCUGAGCUUCAACUCAGAGAUGGUUUCAACUGCUGUUCCCGCAGCCUUAGGGAUGCCAGUUGCUUCCUCCAGUUGCUACUUCUUGGCAGAGGAGAACCUGUGGAAUGGUUACACCUGUGAUCCUUCAGACAACUCCAGCAUGAGGUGGCAGUUACCCGUGGGUCAUCUUUGGUUCCAUCAAGGGCACCUCACCUGAGCUUUUGCCAGCGUGUUAAAGAAACCAGACCAGGAAAUGAACAAGAUCCCUUCAGUUCCACUGUGGAGGCAGUGGAACAAGGAGCUGGGGCUGCAGAAGCUGCCUGGGCCUUGUUCUUCUGAAGAUAUGAAGACCAAACCUGCAAGCCAAAAGGAAAUAAUAUCCCAGAUAUAAUCAAAGCCAUGUGACAUUAAAAGUGAAAUAGUUAAACGUAAAUAAAACUGAGAUGUUUACUGGUGUCA